rnacentral:lncRNA from 1 species
CUUUCCUUUCUGCUUUACCAGCUCAAUUUUCAGUAACAGAGAAAUUACUCUGUUGGAGUAAUUAGAGCUUCUUGCUAGUGAAAAUUAGAGAUUUCUUUACUUUCUACUGAUACCAUAUACUAAAUCUGGAUUCUUUCACAGAAUCUCGUCCUGCUGUAACAGAGGAAAGUGGUUUCGUCUCAUACUCUUGGGGUGAAGGAGCUUCCUAUGUGAUGGACUCUGAAUGCAGCAUACAGAUUCUCCUCUAAGAGUGGGCGUUCACCAAAGGAAGAUACUCAU